rnacentral:rRNA from 1 species
AUAGCCUUUCGAAAGAAAGAUUAAUACCCGAUAGCAUAAUGAUUCCGCAUGGUUUCAUUAUUAAAGGAUUCCGGUAAAGGAUGGGGAUGCGUUCCAUUAGGUUGUUGGUGAGGUAACGGCCCACCAAGCCUUCGAUGGAUAGGGGUUCUGAGAGGAAGGUCCCCCACAUUGGAACUGAGACACGGUCCAAACUCCUACGGGAGGCAGCAGUGAGGAAUAUUGGUCAAUGGACGAGAGUCUGAACCAGCCAAGUAGCGUGCAGGAUGACGGCCCUAUGGGUUGUAAACUGCUUUUAUAAGGGAAUAAAGUGAGUCUCGUGAGACUUUUUGCAUGUACCUUAUGAAUAAGGACCGGCUAAUUCCGUG